UAGGGAAUCUUCCGCAAUGGGCGAAAGCCUGACGGAGCAACGCCGCGUGAGUGAUGAAGGUCUUCGGAUCGUAAAACUCUGUUAUUAGGGAAGAACAAAUGUGUAAGUAACUAUGCACGUCUUGACGGUACCUAAUCAGAAAGCCACGGCUAACUACGUGCCAGCAGCCGCGGUAAUACGUAGGUGGCAAGCGUUAUCCGGAAUUAUUGGGCGUAAAGCGCGCGUAGGCGGUUUGUUAAGUCUGAUGUGAAAGCCCACGGCUCAACCGUGGAGGGUAAUUUGAAACUGGAAAACUUGAGUGCAGAAGAGGAAAGUGGAAUUCCAUGUGUAGCGGUGAAAUGCGCAGAGAUAUGGAGGAACACCAGUGGCGAAGGCGACUUUCUGGUCUGUAACUGACGCUGAUGUGCGAAAGCGUGGGGAUCAAACAGG
rnacentral:rRNA from 1 species